AUUCAAAAGGUCACAAACGACCAUCUCACUCUCGAAAAGUUUUCUUUUUGCAGUUGCAGAAAAAUCCUGAAAAAUAAAACAAAAAGUCUCAUAGAAGGUUUAUCCACCACUGAACAGUCGGUACGUGAACAGUAGAAUAAUCUAAUCAUCGACCCGAAGGCGAGUGGAAAUGAACUGCAUCCCGUUGUUUGCCAGGCCACACUUUUACCACCUGCGCCAU
ensembl:ncRNA F38E11.21 ncRNA